rnacentral:misc_RNA from 1 species
AAUAAUAAUAAUAAUAAUAAUGAGUGCUGCACUUGACAUGAUACUACCGUUUUAAACUUGUUUGACAUAUUCAAUUCCUUAAGAAUUUAUAAUAUUUUUUUUUUAACAAUUUUAGAUAACCAACAAAUUUCAAUCAAUCUUUGCCGCUCAGUUUUCCACACCUUCUGAUAUCAUGAUUUAUAAUAAUGGGACGAAAAGAAAGAAAGAAAGAGAAAGGUAAGCGACAACCAGAAGAGAAAAACGGAGAAAAAAAAUUCCAUAAAUUGAAGAAACGCCCAUUGAGAGAAAAACCAAAUGGGGACUCUUCAGAGAAAGAUUCAUAUCUGUAAUUCUGAGGCGGGUCUAAACAGCGCUGAGGUCAAACGCGACAAAAGGGCACCUAGUGAAACAAAGAAGAUUCAAUAACAUAAGAAGCCAAGAAAUGGAAAGAAUGAAAGAGAGGAAAAAUCUAACCGUUAGACGAUAAGAAAAUCACUGUUUGAAAUUGACGUAGAUUGCAAGAAAAAGAAGAUGGACGCACGCGAGAGAGAUUUAGAGCUCAACGUGAGGCAUGAGGCACCAUGCUUUUCAUUUUAAUGUUUGGUUGGG